rnacentral:rRNA from 1 species
UACGAAGGGGGCUAGCGUUGCUCGGAAUUACUGGGCGUAAAGGGCGCGUAGGCGGGUCGUUAAGUUAGAGGUGAAAGCCCAGGGCUCAACCCUGGAAUUGCCUUUAAUACUGGCGGCCUUGAGUAUGGCAGAGGUGUGUGGAACUCCGAGUGUAGAGGUGAAAUUCGUAGAUAUUCGGAAGAACACCAGUGGCGAAGGCGACACACUGGGCCAUUACUGACGCUGAGGCGCGAAAGCGUGGGGAGCAACAGG